CCUACAUAGGAUAGAAUGUGUAACUGAUAAUGAAGCUGACAAUGAAGAAGAAGAUGAUAGUGAACAAGAAGAUGAUAAUGAUCAAGAAGAAGAACAAGUGGCUAAUAAGGAUGAUGAACAAGAGAAAGAAGGUAAUAUUGAAGAAGAAGAAAGUGAGAAGGAUGAUGAACAAGUGAUUAAUAAGGAGUCUAAAAAAGGUUCAAUGGAUCAGCAGCA
rnacentral:lncRNA from 1 species